UACAUGGGGUGCAAACGUUGCUCGGAAUCAUUGGGCGUAAAGCGCGCGUAGGCGGUUAUCUAAGUCGGAUGUGAAAGCCCUCGGCUUAACUGAGGAAGUGCAUCCGAAACUGAAUAGCUAGAGUACGAAAGAGGGUCGCGGAAUUCCCGGUGUAGAGGUGAAAUUCGUAGAUAUCGAGAGGAACACCUGCGGCGAAGGCGGGUUGCUGGGCUGACACUGACGCUGAUGCGCGAAAGCCAGGGGAGCGAACGGG
rnacentral:rRNA from 1 species